ACCCCCUGCUUGCUGAAUAAUUUACCCAUAUCUUUAACCUGAUUAUAUCUGGUACUAUCACCAAGGUUUGGAAGACGGCUCUGGUACUCCCCCUUCACAAAGGUGGUGAUCGAUGUGACCUACGCUGAACAAAAAUAUAAAUGUAAAGUGUUGGUCCUAUGUUUCAUGAGCUGAAAUAAAAGAUCACAGAAAUUUACCAAUCGCACAAAGACCUUAUUUCUCUCAAAUUCUAUGCACAAAUUGGUUUACAUCCCUGUUAGUGAGCAUUUAUCCUUUGCCAAGAUAAUCCAUCCACCUGAUAGGUGUGGCAUAUCAAGAAGCUGAUUAAACAGCAUGAUCAUUACACAGCUGUGCCUUGUGCUGGGGACAUAAAAGGCCACUCUAAAAUGUGCAGUUUUGACACACAACAUAAUACCAAAGAUCUCUCAAGUUUUGAGGGAGCGUGCGAUUGGCAUCCUGACCUCUGGAAUGUCCACCAGAGCUGUUGCCAGAAAAUUGAAUGUUUAUUGAAUGUUUAUUUCUCCACCAAGUUUUUUUAUGUUACAACACAGAACAGUCAAAUGCCUUUCUUGCAAAUUCAAAACCCAACAGUGCAAUAAUCAAAAACAAUGUAAUACUAGACAAAACACACAAGAAAUAAGAAUAAGUAAAUGAAAUACACAAUAAAGUAAGUAUACUAUAUACAGGAAAUAUUUAAAAAGUCAGAUCCAAUACCAUAUUUAAAUGUGCAGGGAUACUGGAGUGAUGGAGGUAGAUAUGUAUAGGGGUAAGGUGACAGGGAUACUGGAGUGAUAGAGGUAGAUAUGUAUAGAGGUAAGGUGACAGGGAUACUGGAGUGAUGGAGGUAGAUAUGUAUAGGGGUAAGGUGACAGGGAUACUGGAGUGAUGGAGGUAGAUAUGUAUAGGGGUAAGGUGACAGGGAUACUGGAGGGAUGGAGGUAGAUAUGUAUAGGGGUAAGGUGACAGGGAUACUGGAGUGAUGGAGGUAGAUAUGUAUAGGGGUAAGGUGACAGGGAUACUGGAGUGAUGGAGGUAGAUAUGUAUAGGGGUAAGGUGACAGGGAUACUGGAGUGAUGGAGGUAGAUAUGUAUAGAGGUAAGGUGACAGGGAUACUGGAGUGAUGGAGGUAGAUAUGUAUAGGGGUAAGGUGACAGGGAUACUGGAGUGAUGGAGGUAGAUAUGUAUAGGGGUAAGGUGACAGGGAUACUGGAGUGAUGGAGGUAGAUAUGUAGUGGGGUAAGGUGACAGGGAUACUGGAGUGAUGGAGGUAGAUAUGUAUAGGGGUAAGGUGACAGGGAUACUGGAGUGAUGGAGGUAGAUAUGUAUAGGGGUAAGGUGACAGGGAUACUGGAGUGAUGGAGGUAGAUAUGUAUAGGGGUAAGGUGACAGGGAUACUGGAGUGAUAGAGGUAGAUAUGUAUAGAGGUAAGGUGACAGGGAUACUGGAGUGAUGGAGGUAGAUAUGUAUAGAGGUAAGGUGACAGGGAUAUUGGAGUGAUGGAGGUAGAUAUGUAUAGGGGUAAGGAGACAGGGAUAUUGGAGUGAUGGAGGUAGAUAUGUAUAGGGGUAAGGUGACAGGGAUACUGGAGUGAUGGAGGUAGAUAUGUAUAGGCGUAAGGUGACAGGGAUACUAGAGUGAUGGAGGUAGAUAUGUAUAGGGGUAAGGUGACAGGGAUACUGGAGUGAUGGAGGUAGAUAUGUAUAGAGGUAAGGUGACAGGGAUAUUGGAGUGAUGGAGGUAGAUAUGUAUAGGGGUAAGGAGACAGGGAUACUGGAGUGAUGGAGGUAGAUAUGUAUAGAGGUAAGGUGACAGGGAUACUGGAGUGAUGGAGGUAGAUAUGUAUAGGCACAAGGUGACUAGGCAACAAGAUAUAAGAUAAACAGAGUAGCAACAGGUUGUAUGUGAGUGGGUGUGGGGGUGUGUAGAGUCAGUAUAAAUCUAUGUGCAUAUUAUGUGUGAAUGAGCAGAUGAUGGAGUAAGUGAGUGAGUGUAUGUGUGUUGGAGUGACAGUGUGUGAGUGUGUUAGUGUGCAUAGAGACAGUGCAAAAAUAAGUGCUCAAUAAAGAUACAAGGUUAACUCAGAUAGUCCAUGUAGCUAUUUUGUUAUCUAUUUAUCAGUCGUAUUGCUUGGGGAUAGAAGCUGUUCAGGAACCUGUUGGUGUCAGACUUGAUGUAUCGGUACCUCUUGCCGUGCGGCAGCAGAGAGAAUAGUCUAUAGGGUGGUUGGGUGGUUAGGGUUUUUGACGACUUUUCUGGGCCUUCUUUUCACAACGCCUGAUAUAGCGGUCCUGGAUGGUAGGGAGCUCGGCCCCAGUGAUGUACUGGGCUGUCCGCACCACCCUCUGUAGCGCCAUGCGAUCAAGGGUGGUGCUGUUGCCAUACCAAGCGGAGUUUGCAGCCAGUCAAUGCUCUCAAUUGUACAGCUGUAGAACCUUUUCAGGAUUUGAGGGCUCAUGGCAAACUUUUUAAACCUCCUGAGGGGAAAGAGGCAAUGUCCCGCCUUCUUCACGACUUCCCGACUGCAACGUCGUUUUAGACAAUUUGGCAGUACAUCCAGUACAGCCUCACAACCGCACACCACCUGUAAGGCAUCGUGUGGGCGAGCGGUUUGCUGAUGUCAACGUUGUGACAAAGUGCUCCAUAGUGGUGGUGGGGUGAUGGUAUGGGCAGGCAUAAGCUACAGACAACAAACACAAUUGCAUUUAUCAAUGGCAAUUUGAAUGCACAGAGAUACCGUGACGAGAUCCUGAGGCCCAUUGUUGUGCCAUUCAUCAGCCGCCAUCACCUCAUAUUGCACGGCCCCAUGUCACAAGAAUCUAUACACAAUUCCUAGAAGCUGAAAAUAUCCGAGUUCUGGCAUGGCCUCUAUACCAGACAUGUCACCUAUUGAGCAUGUUUGGUAUGCUCUGGAUCGACGUGUACGACAGGGUGUUCCAGUUCCCACCAAUAUCCAGAAACGUGGCAGAGCCAUUGAAGAGGAGUAGGACAACAUUCCACAGGCCACAAUCAACAGCCUGAUCAUCUCUAUGCGAAGGAGAUGUGUUGCACUGCAUGAUGCAAAUGGUGGUCACACCAGAUACUGACUGGUUUUCUGAUCCACGACCCUACCUUUUUUAAAGGUAUCUGUGACCAACAGAUGGAUAUCUGUAUUCCCAGUCCUGAAAUCCAUAGAUUAGAGACUAAUGAUAUUUUUUAAAUUGACUGAUUUCCUUAUAAUGAACUGUAACUCAGUAAAAUCUUUGAAAUUGUUGCAUGUUGCGUUUAUAUUUUUGUUCAGUAUAGAUAACUACUGCCCUAUCUCAAAACGUUCUUACCUAGCUAAAAUAUGAAGCUACUGUAAGAUCUUUCAUAUAUAGGAAUUGUAUUCAGUCGGUCUUCAGACCAGGUCAUAGCACUGUGUAUUCUGUUGUCCAGGCUCUAUCUAAACUGCAGUCUACUUUAAUUGUUUUACAGAAAAACGUUAUUGACCUGAAAUGAGUAUUGAAUGCGGAUAAAACAAAGUAUAUGUUGUUUUCUAGAGCACAUGAUUUAAACAUAUGUACCUUGGAUGGUGCCCACAUUGAUCGUGUCCCUGCUUACAAAUAUCUGGCCAUUUGGAUAAACAAUAAGCUGUCUUUUAAAAAGCAUAUUGAUGAGUUAACUAAGAAGUUGAGAAUAAAAAUGUAUAAAGCCCUUUUGCAAAAACUCCCACACUACCUGACAUCUUUACUUAGGCAUGGAAGUACGAGUUACCAUACUCGAUCACAUGGAUGGCUAACUGUGGAAAUUCCAUCUGUUGCUCCGAAAAAACAGCUGUUCGUUUCUUUGCACCCCAUGUGUGGAACAAUCUUCAGAGUUCCCUACAAAAGAUGUAUUGGUGCCUUUCAGGCAUUUCAGUGUUUAAUGAGGACCUCUUUGCUGAGGAAUGUGAUCGUUUUUCAUGAGUGUACUUUAUUUUAUUGUUUUCUCUUUGUAUUUAUUUUCUGGUGUAUUUCCUAUGUGUCAUUUGUUGUGUAAUUGUAAGAUGCAGGGCUCCCUUGCAAAAGAGACCUUGAUCUCAGUGGGACUCCCUGUCAAAAUAAAGGAUGAGAUGUGUAUUUAUUUCAUCUGUGUGGUAGAUGAGAUGUGUUAUUGUUUAGUGUUGUUUUGUUAAUGACACUAAUUAGUUCAGUUCCCGUCUGCUGCUGCUCUGAACAGCCAAUCAGAAGUCCCGCUGUGAGAUCGUCAGCUAGAGGCUAGAGGUAAUGGCUGCUGUGUGUAUGUAGAAGUGACAGGGCCGUUCUCUUUAUAUCACGUAUCAGCAUGUCUUAUUACGUGGCAUCAUGUCUAUUUAUGAGUGCCUUUUAAUCACAUGUGCUGUUGUUUACAACGAUUAUCUUUCACUUAAUUCCUUACAUUCUUACGUGUGAAAUUGAAUUAAUUAAAUCACAUGGACUAUUUUGCUUGCUUGUACGGUGUGUUGUGAUUCCACCAAUUGGCAUGGACUAAAGUGACAUUGAGAAUGUUGCCAAUUCCCUAUCCCCUCCUCCCUCCCAAAACGAAUUGCUAAACACGCCCCAGAACUAGAGUCAGAAGGAAGUGGAAUGUGUCUUCAGCACGCCAUUCAGACCGGGGACCUCUCGACCGACAACAUCCACCUCAUUGCUGCUGAUUGCUGCUCCUCUCCACUGUUCACCUGCUGUGGGAAGAAGACACUACUCAUACAAGGCUCUCUAUAGCACUCCUAAAGGAAAGGGAUUGUUUAGAGUAGGACUCUAAUUGUUGCCAGUAGUUGCUCUAAUUGUAUGUUAUGCGACUACAGACACAGGGGACACGCCCACACAGCUGUGAGAGGUUACACCCAACGCUACAACCCAGCAGGCCCGGCGUAGAGCGAGAGAUAACCCAGCAGGCCCGGGGUAGAGCGAGAGAUAACCCAGCAGGCCCGGCGUAGAGCGAGAGAUAACCCAGCAGGCCCGGCGUAGAGGGAGAGAUAACACAGCAGGCCCGGCAUAGAGCGAGAGAUAACCCAGCAGGCCCGGCGUAGAGCGAGAGAUAACCCAGCAGGCCCGGCGUAGAGCGAGAGAUAACCCAGCAGGCCCGACGUAGAGCGAGAGAUAACCCAGCAGGCCCAGCGUAGAGCGAGAGAUAACCCAGCAGGCCCGGCGUAGAGCGAGAGACAGCCGGGGAAAGCAGCCACCGACCACCGAACCUGCUAUUGAUGAGCCAUCCACUACCGGACCAGCCAUCCACUACAGAACCAGCCAUUCACUACCGGAUCAGCCAUCCACUACUGGACCAGCCAUCCACUACCGGACCAGCCAUCCAUUACCGGACCAGCCAUCCACUACCGGACCAGCCAUCCACUACCAGACCAGCCAUCCACUACCGGACCAGCAAUCCACUACCGGACCAGCCAUCCAUUACCAGACCAGCCAUCCACUACCGGACCAGCCAUCCAUUACUGGACCAGCCAUCCAUUACCGGACCAGCCAUCCACUACCGGACCAGCCAUCCAUUACCGGACCAGCCAUCCAUUAUCAGACUAGCCAUCCACUACUGGACCAGCCAUCCAUUACCGGACCAGCCAUCCACUACCGGACCAGCCAUCCACUACCGGACCAGCCAUCCAUUACCGGACCAGCCAUCCACUACCGGACCAGCCAUCCACUACCGGACCAGCAAUCCACUACAAGACCAGCCAUCCAUUACCGGACCAGCCAUCCACUACCGGACCAGCCAUCCAUUACCGGACCAGCCAUCCACUACCGGACCAGCCAUCCACUACCGGACCAGCCAUCCACUACCGGACCAGCCAUCCACUACAAGACCAGCCAUCCACUACCGGACCAGCCAUCCACUACCGGACCAGCCAUCCACUACCGGACCAGCCAUCCACUACAAGACCAGCCAUCCACUACCGGACCAGCAAUCCACUACAAGACCAGCCAUCCAUUACCGGACCAGCCAUCCACUACCGGACCAGCCAUCCACUACCGGACCAGCAAUCCAUUACCGGACCAGCCAUCCAUUACCGGACCAGCCAUCCAUUACCGGACCAGCCAUCCAUUACCGGACUAGCCAUCCACUAACAACUCCUGGUCGGGUUGAAGAGCUGAACGACGUGUGAGUGAGUACCAAUGGUCUCCAGUAUGAUGAUGUUACUGAUGAAGCUUUCUCCACCCUUUCCAGAUGUGGCCUGCUACGACAAGACUGCUGAGGCCAGGACUACCGCAUCAGAACCUCAUGAUGCCAACACCGAAGCGACGAACGCUCCAUGCUAAACAACUAUGGACUCUAGCUGGUAUGUGGUGUGAGUUUGCCCCGGCCUGUCCUUGUGUUUUGUUCUGUGUUGCUUUUAUCCUGUAACACACUAUAAAUAUUAAUAAAAGAGAAAAUAAAGAUAUUAAAGAACUCUAGACACUGACUGUCUGCCUCCUGCCUAUGUCUGUAGUAUUGGGAUUGAAUUUUUUUUUGUGUGUGUGUGUGUGUGUGUGGUGUGCUUUCAUAAAUGCCUUGCAUAUAGUUAUGAAAUACAAUAUAAUGGUUUUAUAUAGCCGGACUGAUAUUUAUUUAAUCAUUCAUUACUUCAUUAACUGUCUGAGAAGUCUCUCUAGCAAUAUGAAAAACAAUAUGGUCCAUUCUGACUGAGUCACACAUUCAUGACCUGUCUAUCAUGAGAGAGAGGAGGCAAGGAGGGAGAGAGAGAAGUAGGGGGGAAGGGUGUGUGAAGAGAGGGGAGAAGGAGAGGGGGGGAGAGGGAGAGUCCAGUAUGUUGAAGCAGGUCUGGUCCAGGUGGGGUUUAGUCAGUCAGUGUGUUAUUUUAG
rnacentral:lncRNA from 1 species